rnacentral:rRNA from 1 species
GACGAACGCUGGCGGCGUGCUUAACACAUGCAAGUCGAACGGAAAGGCCCUGCUUUUGUGGGGUGCUCGAGUGGCGAACGGGUGAGUAACACGUGAGUAACCUGCCCUUGACUUUGGGAUAACUUCAGGAAACUGGGGCUAAUAUCGGAUAGGAGCUACUGCUGCAUGGUGGGGGUUGGAAAGUUUCGGCGGUUGGGGAUGGACUCGCGGCUUAUCAGCUUGAUGGUGGGGUAGUGGCUUACCAAGGCUUUGACGGGUAGCCGGCAUGAGAGGGUGACCGGCCACAUUGGGACUGAGAUACGGCCCAGACUCCUACGGGAGGCAGCAGUGGGGAAUAUGGCACAAUGGGCGGAAGCCUGAUGCAGCAACGCCGCGUGCGGGAUGACGGCCUUCGGGUUGUAAACCGCUGUCGCCUGUGACGAAGCGUGAGUGACGGUAAUGGGUAAAGAAGCACCGGCUAACUACGUG